UGCACAUUACUAGUAUUUUGGUUUCAUGAUGCCAUGCUUAUUAUUCCUAAUGAGUUGUGACAAUAUCAAGUAUUGACUGUAGUGUGCAUCUAAUUUUCAGAUUUCUCGAUAGACUAGUGAGUACACUAGAGGAAAAGAAACACCACCAAGUGAAGUUAAAGGAGGGGUUGAAGGACUUGUCUGCCAAACAGAUGGAGCUGUAGAAUUCAUUGACAUCAUUGUGGCCAAAGCAGCCUCUUGUAUCAGGUGCCGCUAUAGGAUUGGAAGGGCAGUUCCUGGUAUUAUUGGCUGCCACCAAGCCCUUGAAGCUAUAAAGAUUGCAAGUGAUGUUGGUGAACCACUUUCAAGAAG